rnacentral:rRNA from 1 species
GACGAACGCUGGCGGCGUGCUUAACACAUGCAAGUCGAACGGACAGGCCCUGCUUUUGUGGGGUGCUCGAGUGGCGAACGGGUGAGUAACACGUGAGUAACCUGCCCUUGACUUUGGGAUAACUUCAGGAAACUGGGGCUAAUACCGGAUAGGAGCUCCUGCUGCAUGGUGGGGGUUGGAAAGUUUCGGCGGUUGGGGAUGGACUCGCGGCUUAUCAGCUUGUUGGUGGGGUAGUGGCUUACCAAGGCUUUGACGGGUAGCCGGCCUGAGAGGGUGACCGGGCACAUGGGGACUGAGAUACGGCCCAGACUGCUACGGGAGGCAGCAGUGGGGAAUAUUGCACAAUAGGCGGAAGCCUGAUGCAGCAGCGCCGCGUGCGGGAUGACGGCCUUCGGGUUGUAAACCGCUUUCGCCUGUGACGAAGCGUGAGUGACGGUAAUGGGUAAAGAAGCACCGGCUAACUACGUG